GACGAACGCUGGCGGCGUGCCUAAUACAUGCAAGUUGAGCGAUGAAGAUUGGUGCUUGCACCAAUUUGAAGAGCAGCGAACGGGUGAGUAACGCGUGGGGAAUCUGCCUUUGAGCGGGGGACAACAUUUGGAAACGAAUGCUAAUACCGCAUAACAACUUUAAACAUAAGUUUUAAGUUUGAAAGAUGCAAUUGCAUCACUCAAAGAUGAUCCCGCGUUGUAUUAGCUAGUUGGUGAGGUAAAGGCUCACCAAGGCGAUGAUACAUAGCCGACCUGAGAGGGUGAUCGGCCACAUUGGGACUGAGACACGGCCCAAACUCCUACGGGAGGCAGCAGUAGGGAAUCUUCGGCAAUGGACGAAAGUCUGACCGAGCAACGCCGCGUGAGUGAAGAAGGUUUUCGGAUCGUAAAACUCUUUUGGUAGAGAAGAACGUUGGUGAGAGUGGAAAGCUCAUCAAGUGACGGUAACUACCCAGAAAGGGACGGCUAACUACGUG
rnacentral:rRNA from 1 species